UACGGGGGGUGCGAGCGUUGUCCGGAAUCACUGGGCGUAAAGGGCGCGUAGGUGGUUUGAUAAGGGUGUGGUGAAAGUCCGGGGCUCAACCCCGGAUCUGCCGUGCCGACUGUCAAACUCGAGGGCUGUAGAGGCAGACGGAAUUCCGGGUGUAGCGGUGGAAUGCGUAGAGAUCCGGAGGAAGACCGGUGGCGGAGGCGGUCUGCUGGGCAGUUUCUGACACUGAGGCGCGACAGCGUGGGGAGCAAACAGG
rnacentral:rRNA from 1 species